CUGGGUGCCUCUCAAGAUUUUAGAGUAGGGGAAUAGAUGCCAGUAGAAUGGCGUUUCAUCUGACGGAACCGGUUAUGCAGAAAAAAUCCGUAUUGUAGCGAAUAUUCCAGAGCGACGACAUCGGGGCGCCAUUAGGUCGACAGCCAGUUCAUAAAGUAUUAAUCGCCGGUGAUAAAAAAAUGAAGUCAAUCAUGUGUCAUCGGAUAGCUCUAGCUAAGAUAACCGAAUAUAAUCCAAAUUUCCGACAUCUCAUCACGAGACUUCCGAAAACCUGAGAAGGCAAUGCUCAACAGAAAUUAAAAGACGCAGAAAGAGCAAUCUCCCACUCCCCCAUCUAGCGUUAGGGUCGUACGCUAGUCUUAGUACUAUAGUACUAUUGCAUCCAGGAAGGGACUGAGUGUCUUGGGGCUGAGGGUUUGUUUAGUUCCUGUUAACAGUUUGCCCGCCAGUACUGCUUCACUGAGUACAUCCGCGGUAGGGUUUUCUUCAAUUUUAUCGAGGCCAUUUUUGAUUUGGCCGUUAACUUGAAGAUUUUUAUUAGCACACUUUCACACGAAUCUUGUAGUUUUGGAUCAGCAGUUAGUAUCAUCUCGUUCUGGCGGCCAACACCACUCGUAGUGUUAUGGUGGCGUUUUUCUUUUUUAACAUCGGUUCCUCCCCUGCAUUUCGAGAUACCAUAUGUCUCAGCUCUUCAUAUCCUCGCAGGAAAAUCUUGAACCUGGAUUUCGUCUGUAGAAGGCGAGCUGUUGCAUUUACCAAUUCCUCAGCUUCUCAGUCCCUGGUUCUUGUUGUAGAUCCAUGAUCUGUGAAUGGCAUGAACGUUGCGAGCUCGAACCGCUCCGUGGUCAUCUUUCCCAUCUUCAGAUUGUGGACAUUUGAGAUCACCUCAAAAUGUGUGCCACUGGGCGUAUGGUUGUAAGGCCUAAUGUAAACCAUCCGGCUCGAACAAGCAAAUGUCAUCAGGCUCGAAGAAUCAAUGUCAUUCGGCUCGAAGGACCAAACGAAUUGGCGCCGCGUUACCACAAGGGUUCCGAUCCCAGUGAAGUGCGAGGUUUUCAAGUGCUUAAAACUUAAAAUUUAAAAUCAGCUUCUCAAUCUCCGUACUAUUGUACGGAGAUUGAGAAGCUGAUUGCGGAGCGGUUCGAGCUACCAACGUUCAGAGAAUGCUCUCACUCACAGAUCAUGGACCUGUAACAAGAGCCAGGAAUCCAAGAAGAUUUACAAGCGCCCGCACUUCUCCCUGUCAACCGCAGCUCCGGUGAGUCCGAACGAGACAACAUCCCAAAUGAAGGCAAGCCAAGGGGCAGCGAUUUUAAUGUCCAAGGGAA